rnacentral:lncRNA from 1 species
GCGGAAGGCCAGGGCUAUGCGGUCUGAGAUCUACAAGGGAAGGAGGGCGUCUUUUGUGGAGGAUAGCUUACAAAAGGAUGAGAUACAGUCCUUGCAUUGCCUUCAGCCUCUGUGGAAACCCAAGGCCCUGAGAGUGUGAAAAAAUCUGUGGAAGCUAACUGAGGGCUUUGCAAGUGUAUCUGAAUGGUGGAUCAACUGAGUGUAGGCUCAGAUCAGGACUUCAAAUGCGUGCAGUCACAGCCUUCCCACAGACGGUGAGAGAAGUACUGCAGAAACAUCUCUGCUUCUCCACUAGGACUGAUACAGCAGCAAGUACAGAUUUGGACACUGAAUCAUGCUUUGGUGUCCUGUCACUGUGCAUCGCUGUGAUCGCACGGUGCCUAAUGGUGCAUGGUCUGAGUGCAACAUCACUGUUCCAAAACAGAUCAACUACUAAACUGAUAGGCAGUAUAAU